AAUACGGAGCCUGACCAUCCCAACCACACAGGUCGUAUGCAUCUUGGCAAUGCAGGUCCAAUUCUGGUCAGUCAAAGCUGUGCGCAGUACGGGUGUCAGGACCCGGGAGAGAGCGCGUAGUGGACCUGUACCACCAUGGAUGAAGCUCCUUCUUGUGUACCACCAAUAUAGCUAGGGUUAAGAAAAUUUUGGGGAAUCCCCCCUCCAACAAUGGGAAGGCACCGGAUCUCGAUUCUCUCUGGCGCACCGGAUCGGCGGAUCCCGGUUCACCGGCAAUGAAGCACUGGUGCCCAGCAUCCCAAUCACCUAGACCAGCGACGGCGCGACGGCGCCGCGCUAUGGCUGUGGGAACAUAGACGCAAAGCCCGGGAGUCGGCCAUCGUCCUUUGCAGCCCAAGUAUCUGAUGAUGAGUCUGGUAUUUGCGCAUCUUUAUUUUUGAAAAGUUUGGCGGUCAAGACAUGGAAUUAGCAGUCUGCAAGGAAAAUAUUAAUAAUCGCCGACAAAUGAUACUACACGAAGUAAUGAUGCUGCAAGGGAACUCAUCCAGUUA